rnacentral:tRNA from 1 species
GGCUCGUUGAUCUAGGGGUAUGAUUCUCACUGAAGGUGCGAAAGGUCCCGGGUUCAAAUCCCAGACGAGUCC